rnacentral:rRNA from 1 species
GGAAAAGCGCAUUUAUUAGAACAAAACCACGCGGCUUCGGCUGCUUCUUGUUGACUCAGAAUAACUUAGCUGACCGCAUGGCCUUGUGCCGGCGGCGUGUCUUUCAAGCGUCCACUUUAUCAACUUGACGGGAGCAUAAUCGACUCCCGUGGUGGUGACGGAUAACGGAGGAUCAGGGUUCGACUCCGGAGAAGGGGCCUGAGAAAUGGCCACUACGUCUAAGGAUGGCAGCAGGCGCGCAAAUUACCCACUCUCGGCUCGAGGAGGUAGUGACGAGAAAUAACGAGACUGUUCUCUUUGAGGCCGGUCAUCGGAAUGGGUACAAUUUAAACCCUUUAACGAGUAUCAAGCAGAGGGCAAGUCUGGUGCCAGCAGCCGCGGUAAUUCCAGCUCUGCAAAUACAUAGAAUUAUUGCUGCGGUUAGAAAGCUCAUAGUUGGAUUCGUAUCGAUACCUUGGAACCCUUCGGGUGUCUCUAGGUGUUAUCGAUUUAUCGUAAUGUUCGGUUUUGAGUCCUUAACAGGAUUCUUAACAGGCAUUGCAAGUUUACUUUGAACAAAUCAGAGUGCUUCAAACAGGCGUUUUCGCUUGAAUGAUCGUGCAUGGAAUAAUAGAAAAUGAUUUCGGUUCAGUUUUAUUGGUUUUACGGACUGAGAUAAUGGUUAACAGAGACAAACGGGGGCAUUUGUAUGGUCCCGUGAGAGGUG